UCGAGGGGCAGCACGAGGUAGCAAUACUUUGGUGGCGACCGGCGCACGGGUGAGUAACGCGUAUGCAACCUACCCUGUACAGGGGGAUAGCCCGGAGAAAUUCGGAUUAAUACCCCAUAAUGAUAUUUGAAGGCAUCUUUAGAUAUUUAAAGUUUCGACGGUACGGGAUGGGCAUGCGUGACAUUAGCUAGUUGGUAGGGUAACGGCCUACCAAGGCUGCGAUGUCUAGGGGUCCUGAGAGGGUGAUCCCCCACACUGGUACUGAGACACGGACCAGACUCCUACGGGAGGCAGCAGUGAGGAAUAUUGGUCAAUGGGCGCAAGCCUGAACCAGCCAUCCCGCGUGCAGGAAGACGGCGCUAUGCGUUGUAAACUGCUUUUCCAGGGGAAGAAAUCAUCCUACGUGUAGGGUGUUGCCGGUACCUUGGGAAUAAGCAUCGGCUAACUCCGUGCCAGCAGCCGCGGUAAUACGGAGGAUGCGAGCGUUAUCCGGAUUUAUUGGGUUUAAAGGGUGCGUAGGCGGACUGGUAAGUCAGUGGUGAAAACCUGCAGCUUAACUGUAGAAUUGCCAUUGAUACUGUCGGUCUUGAGUUCGGUUAAGGUAGGCGGAAUGUGUAAUGUAGCGGUGAAAUGCUUAGAUAUUACACAGAACACCGAUUGCGAAGGCAGCUUGCUGGACCGAUACUGACGCUGAUGCACGAAAGCGUGGGGAGCGAACAGGAUUAGAUACCCUGGUAGUCCACGCCGUANACGAUGAUCACUCGCUGUUGGCGANACACAGUCAGCGGCUAAGCGAAAGCAUUAAGUGAUCCACC
rnacentral:rRNA from 1 species